UACAGGGGGGGCAAGCGUUGUUCGGGAUUACUGGGCGUAAAGGGCGCGUAGGCGGGUGGACAAGUCUCUCGUGAAAGCCCACGGCUCAACCGUGGAAUUGCGGGAGAUACUGUCUGUCUUGAGUCCGGGAGAGGAGGGUGGAAUUCCCAGUGUAACGGUGAAAUGCGUAGAUAUUGGGAGGAACACCGGUGGCGAAGGCGGCUCUCUGGACCGGUACUGACGCUGAGGCGCGAAAGCUAGGGGAGCAAACGGG
rnacentral:rRNA from 1 species